UUUUAAUGAUGACGACAACGACGACGAUGAUGACGAUGAUGAUGAUGAUGAUGACGAUGACGAUGCAUUCUCCAUCUUCAUGCCCAUCGUCGUCGUGGUCGCUGUCC
rnacentral:miRNA from 1 species